UACUUUCUAUCUGUGCUUUGAGCAUGGACUGCAUGGAUACCAGCGCAUUACAAAUGUUUUAUGAUGAUGAUAAAUUAAAAGAUGUGA